AUCAUUACUGAGAGAGGGGCCUCGCGCUCCCGGGGACUUCGGUCCCCAACUCUUCACCCUUUGCGUACCUACCUUUGUUGCUUUGGCGGGCCAUGGGUCCAUCCCGCGCUGGCUUUCGGGCCGGCGAGUGCCCGUCAGAGGCCCAUUUCAUCCUGUUUAUCAGUGUCGUCCGAGUAAAAUAUAAAUAAGUAAAAACUUUCAACAACGGAUCUCUUGGUUCCAGCAUCGAUGAAGAACGCAGCGAAAUGCGAUAAGUAAUGUGAAUUGCAGAAUUCAGUGAAUCAUCGAAUCUUUGAACGCACAUUGCGCCCCCUGGUAUUCCGGGGGGCAUGCCUGUUCGAGCGUCAUUGCACCCCUCAAGCUCAGCUUGGUAUUGGGCCUCGCCCCCGCGGCGUGCCCGAAAAUCAGUGGCGGUCCGGUGUGACUUUAAGCGUAGUAAAUCAAUCCCGCUUUGAAAGUUCGCGCCGCGGCUGGCCAGACAACCCCAUUUGCUUCAAUAAUUGAC
rnacentral:rRNA from 1 species